rnacentral:rRNA from 1 species
AGGACGAACGCUGGCGGCGUGCUUAACACAUGCAAGUCGAGCGGAAAGGCCCUUCGGGGUACUCGAGCGGCGAACGGGUGAGUAACACGUGAGCAACCUGCCCUUAGCUCUGGGAUAGCUCCGGGAAACCGGAAUUAAUACCGGAUAUUACACCGGCUGGCAUCGGCUGGUGUGGAAAGGUUUAUCGGCUAAGGAUGGACUCGCGGCCUAUCAGCUUGUUGGUGGGGUAGAAGCCUACCAAGGCGACGACGGGUA